UAGAGUUUGAUCAUGGCUCAGGACGAACGCUGGCGGCAUGCCUAAUACAUGCAAGUCGAACGAGACUCUGGUGAAUGAUGUGCUUGCACUGAUUAUAACAAUGGAGCGAGUGGCGAACUGGUGAGUAACACGUGGGAAAUCUGCCCAGAAGC
rnacentral:rRNA from 1 species